AACAAAAUAAGCGAACACAUCAUUCUGAGGUGAAAGUUGGUUCCUGCAUUGUCUAUCAACAAGGACUCACAGAGGGAAACAGGUCGCAGAACAGAAGGGGAAGGAACCCAGGCCCGGCCAAGGAACCGCCAGAACUACAAUUAUCCUGUUUGAUUUACGAUCGGAAUGGAGGACAACCUCUGCAAGCAGCUCGUCCUGUGGAAACGUCGGGGUGAUCGCGGCCCCGCUCGGCUCUGAGUGAAACCAACAAGCUGCUAAGCGUAUGGCUCGGUGUCCCCGAACGGUCAGCUGGAGGGGGCCCUCAGGAGGCCCCUUAGGAGGCCCCUAAGGCAUCGGGGGCCCGGCCGACGAUAACAGAAGAACGCUGAUCAGGGCUGACAGCCCGCCGACGGCCCGCCCCGGCGCAGAGGGGAGGAAUCGACUGCUGCACAACAAAGGCUUCAGAAAUACACAGAGGACACACCGGGACUGUCACAAAACAGUAGCCCUU
ensembl:lncRNA